ACUGAACGCUGGCGGCAGGCUUAACACAUGCAAGUCGAGCGGAGAUGAGGUGCUUGCACCUUAUCUUAGCGGCGGACGGGUGAGUAAUGCUUAGGAAUCUGCCAUUUAGUGGGGGACAACAUCUCGAAAGGGAUGCUAAUACCGCAUACGUCCUACGGGAGAAAGCAGGGGAUCUUCGGACCUUGCGCUAAAUGAUGAGCCUAAGUCGGAUUAGCUAGUUGGUGGGGUAAAGGCCUACCAAGGAGACGAUCUGUAGCGGGUCUGAGAGGAUGGUCCGCCACACUGGGACUGAGACACGGCCCAGACUCCUACGGGAGGCAGCAGUGGGGAAUAUUGGACAAUGGGCGGAAGCCUGAUCCAGCCAUGCCGCGUGUGUGAAGAAGGCCUUUUGGUUGUAAAGCACUUUAAGCGAGGAGGAGGCUACUAGUAUUAAUACUACUGGAUAGUGGACGUUACUCGCAGAAUAAGCACCGGCUAACUCUGUGCCAGCAGCCGCAGUAAGAC
rnacentral:rRNA from 1 species